UUUACCUCCCAUGACGUGGCAGCUUAGUUUUUAAAACAUCUAAAUAACUGCUAACAAUACAGCCUAUCGAAACAUUUCAAAUUCAAAAAUAAAUUUCAGUCCUCCCCGCGCUCUCUUCCUCCGCAUCAUCUCUGUUGCAGUUCUGCCCACCGAGACUGUUCGACACCUCCAUCACAGGUGCCGCCGCCACCUCCACUAUCGGAACUCCAGUGCCACCAUACAGACUGCCUAAGACGCCCUUCUCAUGCCUCUAGGUAAGCCCCAAGUCGUUCCUCUCCCCCUCGUACACUUGCAUGUGCCAUAACCCCUCUGGUCCACCCACCCAUCGGUGAUGCCUUCCACUGCCACUACACCUUCGAUGCGGCCAACAACACGCGCCAGCAUAUGGAUACCGUCAUGCCUCUCCCUGUCUCUGUUGAGAUAUGGCCACAUAGGACGUUGUUGUGACUAAUGCUAGAAUGGGCAUUUUUUGUGUCCCUCAACUGGAUUUUUCCACGAUGUGGUUGUGGUUGCGGUUGCAUAUUUGGUUCUGAUAGCUGGUUCUACUCGAUCAUUUGUGCCCCUAGGUUGGUUCUACCUUGUGUCCCUGGCUUCCCUAGUUUUUGUACCUGAGCUGGUUCUAAGUAAUGGCGGGUUCUACUAAAAUAGAGGGUGUUACAUUUAUCAUUUUGGAAUGUAUGGUUCUACUUAUAUGAUGCUUCCAUGAUUUUUUA